rnacentral:rRNA from 1 species
UGCUUGGGAAACUGCCCAGUCGUGGGGGACAACCAUUGGAAACGAUGGCUAAUACCGCAUACGCCCUACGGGGGAAAGAAGGGGACCUCUUCGGAGCCUUUCGCGAUUGGAUGUGCCCAAGUGGGAUUAGCUAGUUGGUAAGGUAAAGGCUUACCAAGGCGACGAUCUCUAGCUGGUUUGAGAGGAUGAUCAGCCACACUGGGACUGAGACACGGCCCAGACUCCUACGGGAGGCAGCAGUGGGGAAUAUUGCACAAUGGGCGCAAGCCUGAUGCAGCCAUGCCGCGUGUGUGAAGAAGG